CAAGCGGUCACUCCUUUCCCGUUUUACUGUUAGGGGAAGGAAGCCACAGCCCAGUGGGGAAGUGACAUCCCUGGCCCUUGCCGUUCACCACUUCAAGUCUUGCCCAGCUGUCAGGGCAGGAAUUCAUGUCCCCACGGUGGCAUCUGCUUCCCAGGCUGUGGGGCCAGCAAGGGGCUCAGCUGCUCCCCAGCCCUGCCUUCCUCCAUGGAUCUGACAUGACUCUUUUAUGGGAAUUUACGUAAAAGUAACGCCUUGCUCAGUGUGGAAAAUUUAGGAGCUUCAGGAAAAUAUAAAGAAAAUUAAGGAAGUCAUCUCGCUUCUCAAAUACCGUGUUAAUUUGGGAGAGCACCUGCCAGGCAGCAGUGUCGCUCAGCUUAUGCGCAGCCAGCUUGGGGACUACAGCAGCUCAUCCUAACAAGAGACCAGAACUUCAGGCUGGUCUGAGGCAUGUGCCCACCUCUGGGUCACACGUCAUUCUUGAAGCAGUGGGCAAGUCAAAUAUCCCCACCCCUCCUGCACAGAAAAGGGGAGGAUCCCAAGAAGAGAAUGUGGGGGCUGCCUCCAGGAGGAGAAGAAAGACUUGUGGGUCCACUGCAGACAUCCAGGUGGAGAUGUCUGGAGCCCAGGGGUCGGGUAAGAGCUACAGCCAGGUUGGGGUUAUUGUGGGAGGAGCCGUAGGAGUGAAUGAGAUCAGGAAAGGAGUGGCCAGGGAGGAGGGGCGACCCAAAGGCCUCCGGUGAUGCGCUGACAGAAGGUAAAAACAAGGAACAAAGCAAAACCACACACAGGACGGCAGCGCGGAGUCCGGGCCCUGCCCUCUGCAGCAGCGCAGCCCGGGGACUCUGGGGCUCUCCCUGCUGCCUGUGGAAUUUCCAGGCCAGCGCAUCUGAUUGGCCUGGCCUGGGGCAGUGGGUGGGGAUUUGGAUGUUUCCAGAGAAGGGAAGAUGGCGGUGAGACAGCCGCUCGGCAGCUCCAGAGGGGUCGAUCCCGCGACAGGGGAAGGGGGCGUGGGCGUCACAUGGCAGCGCUGAGACUUGAGUGCUGGAACAGCCCAGCGAGGAAGGUCCCAAAGACAGCUCUUUUCACCAGAGACAGGCCGUGCGUUUGCGGUGCGGGCUCCACCCGCAGUUCUGCUUCAGGUAGAAAAGGGAUGAGGGUGCCGGGCCAGCUUGACCCGGUUUCCGCAGGGGCAGAAGCACUUCUUACCUUCGGCCUGCAGAGCCCCUCAAGCAACAGGGAACCACAUUCUCCUGCCCUUGGAAAAAGUUGACCCGCUUCACAGUGAAGCCAGAGAGGCGAGGUGGGGGCGGCGGGGGGAUUUGGAUGGGACUUCCAGACGCCUUUCUUCUUCCCAGUGCCUACCUAGGGAUGGGGACGCUAGGACAGCUGAAGCUGGCACAUAUCUGAUCACUGUUCCUCAAGCACCUCUUUGUCCAUGCACCCUCCCUGCCCAACACCUCCAAUGGCCUCUGAGGCUUGGAGAAUGACAUCCAAGCUCUGCUUCCCAAACAGGCCCAAGCCCACCCUCUGCCUCCCAACUCAUCCGACCAUGACCACCAUCUGUCACCCUUUGCAGCCACGCCCUGUGGUGACCACGCCCACAGACGGCCCUGGUGACCUCGCCGACAGAUGGGCACGACCUUGAAUGGCUCUGCUUUUGAUAGUCACGCCCCUUGUAGCCAUGUCCUGUGAUGGCCACACCCACCAAUGAGCAUGCCCUCAGGUGACCACUCUCAGACACCCUGGGAUCCAGCUGCCCUCACACCCCCGGGGCAUGCCUGGGCACACCUGUCCUCUCUUUGGCCCUCCCCUAAAAAGCCCUCCAAAUCCUAAAUCCUUCUUCCAAAUCCUGUUCUGCUGCUUCAGUCUCACCACCUCCUUGAGGCCCCCUGUGACUACCCCAGCUCUCUGGUGUUCACUCGCUUGGUUCCUACGAUACAUUGGAGCACAUUUGCCUUUUUAAAAAUAAGCUGAGCUGUCUCCACAGCUAGAUUU
rnacentral:lncRNA from 1 species